rnacentral:rRNA from 1 species
ACGGCGUCGAGCGGCGGUACGGGUGAGUAAUAGCCUGGGAAAUUGCCUUGAUGUGUGGGGAUAACCAUUGGAAACGAUGGCUAAUACCGCAUAAUGCCUUCGGCGCCAAAGUAGGGGGACCUUCGGGCCUCUCCGCUGUCAAGAUAUGCCCAGGUGGGAUUAGCUAGUUGGUGAGGUAAUGGCUCACCAAGGCGACGAUCCCUAGCUGGUCUGAGAGGAUGAUCAGCCACACUGGAACUGAGACACGGUCCAGACUCCUACGGGAGGCAGCAGUGGGGAAUAUUGCACAAUGGGCGCAAGCCUGAUGCAGCCAUGCCGCGUGUGUGAAGAAGGCCUUCGGGUUGUAAAGCACUUUCAGCUGUGAGGAAGGCGGUGACGUUAAUAGCGUGAUCUCUUGACGUUAGCUGCAGAAGAAGCACCGGCUAACUCCCCGCCCCCCCCCGCGGUAAUACGGAGAGGUGCGAGCGUUAAUCGGAAUUACUGGGCGUAAAGCGCAUGCAGGUGGUUCAUUAAGUCAGAUGUGAAAGCCCGGGGCUCAACCUCGGAACUGCAUUUGAAACUGGCGAACUAGAGUACUGUAGAGGGGGGGUAGAAUUUCAGGUGUAGCGGUGAAAUGCAGUACAGAUCUGAAGGAAUACCGGUGGCAAACGCGGCCCCCUGGACAGAUACUGACACUCAGAUGCGAAAGCGUGCGGAGCAAACAGGAUUAGAUACCCUGGUAUUCCACGCCGUAAACGAUGUCUACUUGGAGGUUGUGGCCUUGACCGUUGUCUUUCGGAGCUUACGCGUU